AACGAACGCUGGCGGCAGGCCUAACACAUGCAAGUCGAGCGCGCCCUUCGGGGUGAGCGGCGGACGGGUGAGUAACGCGUGGGAACGUGCCCUUUUCUACGGAAUAGCCUCGGGAAACUGAGAGUAAUACCGUAUACGCCCUUUGGGGGAAAGAUUUAUCGGAAAAGGAUCGGCCCGCGUUGGAUUAGGUAGUUGGUGGGGUAAUGGCCUACCAAGCCGACGAUCCAUAGCUGGUUUGAGAGGAUGAUCAGCCACACUGGGACUGAGACACGGCCCAGACUCCUACGGGAGGGAGGAGUGGGGAAUCUUAGAAAAUGGGGGCAACCCUGAUCGAGCCAUGCCGCGUGAGUGAUGAAGGCCUUAGGGUUGUAAAGCUCUUUCAGCUGGGAAGAUAAUGACGGUACCAGCAGAAGAAGCCCCGGCUAACUCCGUG
rnacentral:rRNA from 1 species